AGGGUAUAUGGUGGAUAUCUUGGCAGUAAGAGGCGAUGAAGGACGUUUGCUAGGUAGCGAUAAGCCACGACGAGUGAUCAAGCAUGCUUUGACUCGUGGAUUUCCGAAUGGGGCAACCCGGCUAGUAGAAAUACUAGGUCACUGCAUGGUGAGUUAAGUAGCCAUGACAGAGCGAACGAGGGGAACUGAAACAUCUAAGUACCCUCAGGAAGAGAAAUCAAAAGAGAUUCCGUAAGUAGCGGCGAGCGAACAUGGAAUAGCCCAAACCAGUAAGUUUACUUGCUGGGGUUGUAGGACCUACAUAAGGCUCAAUAACGAUAGAAGAACUGUUUGGGAAGGCAGGCCAAAGAGGGUGAAAGCCCCGUAAUCGAAAUUGUUAGAGAGUUGGUGGGUAUCCUGAGUAGGACGGGACACGUGGAAUCUUGUCUGAAUCUGGGGAGACCACUCUCCAAGGCUAAAUACUCCUUACUGACCGAUAGUGAACAAGUACCGUGAGGGAAAGAUGAAAAGAACCCCGAUAAGGGGAGUGAAAUAGAAUUUGAAACCGUAUACUUACAAACAGCGAGAGAGCUAUUGUAAAGCUUGAUCGCGUACCUUUUGCAUUAUGAUUCAGCGAGUUACGAUGUGUAGCAAGGUUAAGCCGUUGCAGGUGUAGCCGUAGGGAAACCGAGUCUUAAUAGGGCGGUUUAGUUGCAUGUCGUAGACCCGAAACGGGAUGAGCUAUCCAUGAGCAGGUUGAAGCGGGGGUAAAACCUCGUGGAGGACCGAACCCAUAUAGGUUGAAAACUGUUGGGAUGACUUGUGGAUAGGGGUGAAAGGCCAAUCAAAUUCCGUGAUAGCUGGUUCUCUCCGAAAUGCAUUUAGGUGCAGCCUUUAGUGGACACCAUCGGGGGUAUAGCACUGAAUUGGCUAGGGGGCUUACCAGCUUACCAAACCAUAUCAAACUCAGAAUACCGAUGAGUGAUGCUAGGGAGUGAGACUAUGGGUGCUAAGGUCCAUAGUCGAAAGGGAAAGAGCCCAGACCAUCAGCUAAGGUCCCUAAAUAAUCGCUAAGUGGGAAAGGUUGUGGGAUUACUUUGACAUCCAGGAGGUUGGCUUAGAAGCAGCCACCCUUUAAAGAAAGCGUAAUAGCUCACUGGACUAGUGAUCCUGCGCCUAAAAUUCAACGGGGCUUAAGUGAUUUACCGAAGCUAUGGAUUGAGAUUUAUCUCAAUGGUAGGAGAGCAUUGUGUAUGCCGAUGAAGAUGUACCGUAAGGAGCAUUGGAGGUAUCACAAGAGCUGAUGCUGAAAUGAGUAACGAUAAGGAACGUGAGAAUCGUUCCCGCCGAAAAUCUAAGGGUUCCUGGGCCAGGUGACUCCGCCCAGGGUUAGUCGGAUCCUAACGCGAGGCCGAAAGGCGUAGUGGAUGGAUAACAGGUUAAUAUUCCUGUACUUAGUAAUUAUCGUUCGACUUGGUGGAGUGACGGAGAAAGGUAGUGAAGCCACACACUGGUUAGUGGUUUAAGCGAGUAGGUGGGAGACUCAGGCAAAUCCGGGUUUCUAUUAACGCCGAGACGUGAUGACGAGGGCCUAGCCCGAAGUUCAUGAUCCUAUGCUUCCUAGAAAAGCUUCGUAAGGAGAUGAUUAUUAAUCCGUACCGUAAACCGACACAGGUAGAUGGGAUGAGAAUUCUAAGGCGCUUGGGUAAACUCCAGUUAAGGAACUCUGCAAAUUGGUGCUGUAACUUUGGGAUAAGGCACGCCUUUUUUGGUGAUAGAACUUGCUUCUUGAGCUGAAGAGGGCCGCAGUGAAAAGGGGGUAGCGACUGUUUAUCAAAAACAUAGGUCUAUGCAAACUCGUAAGAGGACGUAUAUGGACUGACGCCUGCCCGGUGCUCGAAGGUUAAGAGGAGAGGUUAGAGCAAUCGAAGCUUUGAAUCGAAGCCCGAGUAAACGGCGGCCGUAACUAUAACGGUCCUAAGGUAGCGAAAUUCCUAGUCGGGUAAGUUCCGACCUGCACGAAUGGCGUAACGACUUCCCCACUGUCUCAACUGGAGACCCAGUGAAAUUGGAGUGCGCGUGAAGAUACGCGCUACCCGCGGAAGGACGAAAAGACCCCGUGAACCUUCACUGUAGCUUGGCAUUGGUUUUCGAAACACAUUGCGUAGGAUAGGUGGGAGCUUUUGAUCCGUGCAUUCCGGUGUACGAGGAGGCAACCUUGAAAUACCACCCUUUGUGUUUUGGAAUCCUAACCUACGAUCGUUAUCCGGUCGGGGGACAAUGUCUGGUAGGCAGUUUGACUGGGGCGGUCGCCUCCUAAAGAGUAACGGAGGCGCACAAAGGUUCCCUCAAGCCGAAUGGAAACCGGCUGUAGAGUGUAAACGCAUAAGGGAGCUUGACUGCGAGGCAAACAAGCCGAGCAGGUAGGAAACUAGGUGUUAGUGAUCCGGUGGUUCCGAGUGGAAGGGCCAUCGCUCAACGGAUA
rnacentral:rRNA from 1 species